GACGAACGCUGGCGGCGUGCUUAACACAUGCAAGUCGAACGGAAAGGCCCUGCCUUUGUGGGGUGCUCGAGUGGCGAACGGGUGAGUAACACGUGAGUAACCUGCCCUUGACUUUGGGAUAACAUCAGGAAACUGGGGCUAAUACCGGAUAGGAGCUCCUGCUGCAUGGUGGGGGUUGGAAAGUUUCGGCGGUUGGGGAUGGACUCGCGGCUUAUCAGCUUGUUGGUGGGGUAGUGGCUUACCAAGGCUUUGACGGGUAGCCGGCCUGAGAGGGUGACCGGCCACAUUGGGACUGAGAUACGGCCCAGACUCCUACGGGAGGCAGCAGUGGGGAAUAUUGCACAAUGGGCGGAAGCCUGAUGCAGCAACGCCGCGUGCGGGAUGACGGCCUUCGGGUUGUAAACCGCUUUCGCCUGUGACGAAGCGUGAGUGACGGUAAUGGGUAAAGAAGCACCGGCUAACUACGUG
rnacentral:rRNA from 1 species